rnacentral:rRNA from 1 species
ACUGAACGCUGGCGGCAUGCUUUACACAUGCAAGUCGAACGGUAACAGGUUAAGCUGACGAGUGGCGAACGGGUGAGUAAUGUAUCGGAACGUGCCCAGUCGUGGGGGAUAACGUAGCGAAAGCUACGCUAAUACCGCAUACGAUCUGUGGAUGAAAGCGGGGGACCGUAAGGCCUCGCGCGAUUGGAGCGGCCGAUAUCAGAUUAGGUAGUUGGUGGGGUAAAGGCCCACCAAGCCAACGAUCUGUAGCUGGUCUGAGAGGACGACCAGCCACACUGGGACUGAGACACGGCCCAGACUCCUACGGGAGGCAGCAGUGGGGAAUUUUGGACAAUGGGGGCAACCCUGAUCCAGCAAUGCCGCGUGCAGGAAGAGGGCCUUCGGGUUGUAAACUGCUUUUGUACGGAACGAAAAGGCUCUGGUUAAUACCUGGGGUUUAUGACGGUACCGUAAGAAUAAGCACCGGCUAACUACGUGCCAGCAGCCGCCGUAA